UUACGGUCAUAUUGCGUUAAAACAACGGUACCUGUAUGAUCACCGAAGCUAAGCAACGUCGAGUCUUCUCAGUACCUAGAUGGGUGACCACUUGGGAAUUCCAAGUGCUGUAA